rnacentral:rRNA from 1 species
CCCUUAGAUGUCCUGGGCCGCACGCGCGUUACACUGAUGCAUUCAACGAGCUUAUAACCUUGGCCGAGAGGCCUGGGCAAUCUUGUUAACGUGCAUCGUGAUAGGGAUAGAUUAUUGAAAUUAUUGAUCUUGAACGAGGAAUUCCUAGUAAACGCAGAUCAUCAAUCUGCAUUGAUUACGUCCCUGCCCUUUGUACACACCGCCCGUCGCACCUACCGAUUGGAUGGUCCGGUGAAGCCUCGGGAUUGUGGUUCUUGCCGCUUUAUUGUGGCGUGACCGCGAGAACUUGUCUAAACCUUAUCAUCUAGAGGAAGGUGAAGUCGUAACA